AUUCUAGAGCUCAUACGUGCAACCAGCUCGUUUCCUCGUGAAGCGAGCGCAGUUAUUAGAACAAGACCAAUCCGGCCUUCGGGUCGGUAACUUGGUGACUCUGAAUAACCGAAGCAGAGCGCAUGGUCUCGUACCGGCGCCAGAUCUUUCAAGUGUCUGACUUAUCAGCUUGUUGUUAGGUUAUGUUCCUAACAAGGCUAUUACGGGUGACGGGGUAUCAGGGUCCGAUACCGGAGAGGGAGCCUGAGAAACGGCUACCACAUCCAAGGAAGGCAGCAGGCGCGC
rnacentral:rRNA from 1 species